GGGUCGAUGCCCGAGUGGUUAAAGGGGACGGACUGUAAAUCCGUUGGUUUCGCCUACGCUGGUUCAAAUCCAGCUCGGCCCA
rnacentral:tRNA from 1 species